AACGAACGCUGGCGGCGGGCCUCAUACAUGCAAGUCGAGCGCGAAAGUCCGCAAGGAUGAGUAAAGCGGCGCACGGGUGCCUAACACGUGGGUAAUCUACCUUUUGGAUGGGAAUAACUUGUCGAAAGACGGGCUAAUACCGAAUAAGCUCUGCGAAACGUAAAGUUUUGCAGAGGAAAGAUGGGGCAACCUAUCACCGAUUGAUGAGCCUGCGUCCCAUUAGCUAGUUGGUAAGGUAACGGCUUACCAAGGCUACGAUGGGUAGCUGGUCUGAGAGGAUGAUCAGCCACACUGGAACUGAAACACGGUCCAGACUCCUACGGGAGGCAGCAGUAGGGAAUAUUGCGCAAUGGGCGAAAGCCUGACGCAGCCACGCCGCGUGAGUGAUGAAGGCCUUAGGGUUGUAAAGCUCUUUUAGUAGGGAAGAUAAUGACGGUACCUACAGAAAAAGCCCCGGCUAACUCCGUGCCAGCAGCCGCGGUAAGGUCGUCAUGU
rnacentral:rRNA from 1 species